rnacentral:Y_RNA from 1 species
GAUGGUCCGAGUAGUGAGUUAUCUCACGUGAUUGCUCACAGUCAGUUACAGAGAUUGAACUCCUUGUUCUACUACUUCCCCCUCCUCAUACUGCACUUGACUAGUCUUAA